AGGGAGACACAGGGAGCACGCCAAGGUAAGGGUAGGAAUGCCGAGUGGCCCGGGGAGGCAGGGAGAGCAGGGAGGGAGAGAGAGGCAGGCAUGAGUUGGUGGCGUACACAAAACACAACCUACACUGAAUGUCCUGUACCCAAGACACAACUUUAGCUAUAUAUAUAUGCAUCAAAAAAAGCAAUAACAUGUUAGCUGCUUGAUUAAUAGUAAGAAAUUCAGGUCAAGAAAAGGAAGGAUGGUGUAUGGAAAUGGAAUAAGAGGAACGGUUAAGUAAGGUAAGGUUAGGUAAGGUAAGGUUAGGUAAGGUUAGGUUAAGUAAGGUAAGGUUAGGUAAGGUAAGGUUAGAGAGGUAAGGUAAGGUUAGGUAAAGUAAGGUUAGGUAAAGUAAGGUUAAGUAAGGUAAGGUUAGGUAAGGUAAGGUUAGGUAAGGUCAAGAAAAUGGAGGUCAAGGCAAAGGAAGGUAAGAUGAGGUAGCAGAACAGGUCAUGAGAGGUAAUGGGAGAGGAAGAGGGUAGAAAGGUGGAGGAGUAAGGUACAGUAAGGUAAGGGAAGAUAAGAGGAAGGGAGGGUAAGGAAAGAGAGAGGAAGAGAGAGGUAAAGUAAGAAGGAAGAAGACGUGAAGGAGAAGAAAUAAAGCAAGAAAUAGAAGGAAGAUGAAGAAGCCAAAACAGAAGGGAACAAAUAAAGGAAGAGAAAGAGAAAAUAAGCAGAAAGGAAGAAAGGAAGGAAGAAAGACAUGGAGGAGAGAAACAGAGCAAAAAAUGGAGGAAAGAAAGGGAGAAAAAAAGAUUACAAAGAGGA